rnacentral:lncRNA from 1 species
UUUCCCCCCUUUCCACCGAAGUGUGGGCUGUCACCCACUUGCCUUUCCCCUCUCCUUUUGACCAUUCAAACCCACCUUUUCUCUCUCUUAUCUCUUCUUCUCUCUCCUCUCUCUUCUCCCCCUCUCCCUCGUAACCGACUUCUUCUUCUUCCUUCUUGUCUGUGCGAACCAGCGAACCAGAAACGGGAGAAGCCGAGACAGCAGCCAGCCGCUGCCGUCAUCGCCCGUGCACCGCCUCGCUCGUCGCCAGGUCGUCGUCCUGCCGCCCGCGCUCCGCCAGCCCUCGUUUCCUCGCGCUCAGGCCUCCCCCGUGCGUCCCUCGCCCCUGUUCUGUCUCGUCCAGCCACCGUGAGUGGCCGAGCAAGCCGCCGGAGCCGCCGUGUGGCCUCACCGGACCGCCUCUUGCUUUCCCCACCCCUCUCCGCCUC